GGAUUAGGCAUGCAAGUCGAACGCGAAAGUAGGAGCAAUCCUACAAGUAGAGUGGCGAACGGGUGAGUAACGCGUGAGAAACCUGCCUUCAACAGGGGGAUAACAUUCCUAACGGGAUGCUAAUACCGCAUGAGACCACGGGAUCGCAUGAUCCUGAGGUCAAAGGUGGCCUCUAUUUAUAAGCUACCGGUUGAAGAUGGUCUCGCGUCCCAUUAGCUAGUUGGCGGUGUAAAAGACCACCAAGGCGACGAUGGGUAGCUGGUCUGAGAGGAUGGUCUGCCACACUGGGACUGAGAUACGGCCCAGACUCCUACGGGAGGCAGCAGUCGAGAGGCUUCGGCAAUGGGGGAAACCCUGACCGAGCGACGCCGCGUGAAGGAUGAAGGCCCUUGGGUUGUAAACUUCUUUUGUCAGCGAAGAAAUGCGAUCAGGUGAAUAAUCUGGUCGCUUGACGGUAGCUGACGAAUAAGCUCCGGCUAACUCCGUGCCAGCAGCCGCGGUAAUA
rnacentral:rRNA from 1 species